rnacentral:lncRNA from 1 species
GAACCAUUUACCUAACAACUUCUUGUCUUGUUUGUUGUCUCCUCCUUUCUUUUUUUUCUCUUUCUCAGUGCUCCACCCCUCCCCGUGUGGUUGCUUGGCUGAGAACAGACUGAGGGAGGCUGAUGGCGCUGAGCUGUGCUAGAACAUGCCUCAACUUGUACUGGCUUGCCUGGAGAGAGGGUGCAGGCUCGCGGUCACCAGCCUGGACAGCUGGGUGCUUCUCACUGACCUCUCGCAGACAGCAGGGACAACAUUGAGGGAUAGAGAGCAGCCCCAUUCAUCUGGACACGGGGUGAACUGGACCAGGGACCAGGGUCCAGACCAUGACCUAGAGAGCGAGGCUCAUCUCUGCUGGCCUGGUGGAAGUUCUUCCUGUGUUCCAAAGCUCCUCAACCCCCCCUCCCCAACCUUUUACAAGUCAUGCUUUGAUCACAGAGGGAUCAUGAAGCCACUGAACACAAACAGGUGAGUCAUUUCAUAUGGAUAUGGCAAACCGGCUUUGCUGAUUUGAACAUUGUCAACAGGCACACAUUUUAAUCCACAUGUGAGUAGAGUCUGUGGCCUUCUUUGUUUCACAAAGGUACAUUUGUAUUUAACACCAUCAGUCAACAUACUAAAAGCAGCACAAUGGAGUUUUGGUCUAAAACCAGUGAACAACUACCUAAAAAGCAUGUCGAAACUGAUAAAAGUUUGCCAGCAUGCUAACUAAUGUCUUUGUUAUCAUAGACAUUAUAGUCAGCGAUUUCAUGGGGUGUUCUGUCCUGGACGUCAGAACUAAAUAGUGCGUAGCCUGGAUGAACGACAGUGUUUAUCUGUCCUUCCCAUAACCAUACACUAUCAUAAUGAAUUUAAAGAUGAUACCAAAAGUAGGUGCCAAAAAUGGAAAAUCUUGCAUAUUGUUUAUUUAAAAACCCCAUCCGUGUGCUGACAAAACUAUAGUGGCUGCUCUUACACCUUGACUGAUCAGACGUUGACAGCUACUGGUGUGUUUCAUUGGCCAAACGGGGUGCUCCUGAAUUAUUAAUGUGAGCCUGCUCUACAAAUAGAACAGGCAUUGAUCAGGACGCACCAAAGUAAACUGAUAUUGUGAAGGAACGCAAUGUUUGCACUUUGCUCCCCUCUAGAUAGCUCAGAUAUACGAGAGUCUGGCUUCCUUUUUUUGUUGAGUCUUAUUUUCGGGAAACGAAAAAUCAGUCACUCAGCUUAUCUCUUAGCUUUGAAAGAUGCUUGUAAUUUCCUCCAGAGAGAUGUCGUAUUAUAUUGCUCCACCAUUAUCUCUUCACCGCACCACACCACAACUAUUCUUUCUUCAGUAUUUGUUUUAUGAUCUGAAUCACAAUUAAUUAAUGAGAAUUCCUUCUUAAAAUGUCUCAAAACGUAUUACCCCCUUUGUGUUUCUAUUGUUAACCUUACCCUUAAAUCAUACACUACGCAAUUAAUUUGAUGACCCAAAUAAAAUAUUUUCCUUAAAAAUUAUUUGUUCUCA